AUUGAACGCUGGCGGCAGGCCUAACACAUGCAAGUCGAGCGGAUGAAGGGAGCUUGCUCCUGGAUUCAGCGGCGGACGGGUGAGUAAUGCCUAGGAAUCUGCCUGGUAGUGGGGGAUAACGUCCGUAAACGGGCGCUAAUACCGCAUACGUCCUGUGGGAGAAAGUGGGGGAUCUUCGGACCUCACGCUAUCAGAUGAGCCUAGGUCGGAUUAGCUAGUUGGUGGGGUAAAGUCCUACCAAGGCGACGAUCCGUAACUGGUCUGAGAGGAUGAUCAGUCACACUGGAACUGAGACACGGUCCAGACUCCUACGGGAGGCAGCAGUGGGGAAUAUUGGACAAUGGGCGAAAGCCUGAUCCAGCCAUGCCGCGUGUGUGAAGAAGGUCUUCGGAUUGUAAAGCACUUUAAGUUGGGAGGAAGGGCAGUAAGUUAAUACCUUGCUGUUUUGACGUUACCAACAGAAUAAGCACCGGCUAACUUCGUG
rnacentral:rRNA from 1 species